rnacentral:tRNA from 2 species
GCCCCCAUCGUCUAGAGGCCUAGGACAACUCCUUUUCACGGAGUAAACAGGGGUUCGACUCCCCUUGGGGGUU